AUUGAACGCUGGCGGCAUGCUUUACACAUGCAAGUCGAACGGCAGCGGGGAGGAGCUUGCUUCUCUGCCGGCGAGUGGCGAACGGGUGAGUAAUACAUCGGAACGUGUCGAGAAGAGGGGGAUAACCACCCGAAAGGGUGGCUAAUACCGCAUAAAUUCUGAGGAAGAAAGCUGGGGACCUAGGAAUAGGCCUAGCGCUUUUUGAGCGGCCGAUGUCGGAUUAGCUAGUUGGUGAGGUAAAGGCUCACCAAGGCGUAGAUCUGUAGCGGGUCUGAGAGGAUGAUCCGCCACACUGGGACUGAGACACGGCCCAGACUCCUACGGGAGGCAGCAGUGGGGAAUUUUGGACAAUGGGGGCAACCCUGAUCCAGCCAUGCCGCGUGUAUGAAGAAGGCCUUAGGGUUGUAAAGUACUUUUGUUAGGGAAGAAAAGUCAGCUGUGAAUAAUGGCUGAUACUGACGGUACCUAAAGAAUAAGCACCGGCUAACUACGUG
rnacentral:rRNA from 1 species